UACGAAGGGGGCUAGCGUUGUUCGGAUUUACUGGGCGUAAAGCGCACGUAGGCGGUUUGUUAAGUGAGAGGUGAAAUCCCAGAGCUCAACUCUGGAACUGCCUUUCAUACUGGCAAGCUAGAGUCCGGAAGAGGUAAGUGGAACUCCUAGUGUAGAGGUGGAAUUCGUAGAUAUUAGGAAGAACACCAGUGGCGAAGGCGGCUCAC
rnacentral:rRNA from 1 species